CUACACUAUGACUCCUAGUAAAAAAAAUCUCUAGCUCCAUUUCAUGAUCCUCCACAAUAUUAAAUGCUACCAGAUACCACUCCUACCCAUCCUAACUUUCAAACCCUAGUAUGCAAGUUACUAAAUUUUUCAUCAAUUACACAAAUGAAUAAAGAGUACUUCCUAGAGGUCUAAAAUGAUGUUACAUUAUUACAUUGGUUAACAAUAUCACUUGUGAUUGGCCAUUUAAUUAUGUUGAGAACCCUCUAAUAAGGAAUAAAUUGCAAGCAUUUUUUGGAAUACAUUACAUCAUCAAAGGAAUGCUUGCUUAUUCAUACCGUCAAGGUUUACCAAGAGAGAAACAGAAAUAUAUGUCACAAUACUUCAAACCCCUAUUGCUUUCUCUGUUAUCUAUUAAUAGAAUUUUAGUAAAUUAACUGAAUUCUCAGACUAAUA
rnacentral:lncRNA from 1 species